GAUGAAUGCUGGCGGCGUGCCUAAUACAUGCAAGUCGAGCGGACAGACGUGGAUCUUGGUCUUUUGACGUUAGCGGCGGGCGGGUGAGUAACGCGUGGAUUGCCUACCUCUAAGGCUGGGAUUACAUCGGGAAACCCGAGCUAAGAACGGGUAAUACAUUUAACCGCAUGGGGCUGUAGAGUAUGUGGGUUUUGCUGUGGCUUAUAGCUGGAUCCGCGCGGCAUUAGCGGGGUGGCAAGGUAACGGCUUACCAAGGCAACGAUGCGUAACCGAGCCGAGAGGGUGAUACGCGACACUGGAACUGACACACGGUCCCGACUCCUACGGGAGGCAGCAGUAGGGACUCGUCCACAAAGGGGGAAAGCCUGACGGAGCAACGCCACGUGUAUGAAGCAUGUCUGCGGACCGGAAGACUGUCUUCUGAGGGUAGAACGAAUUUGUGAGUAACGAAGCACGGCUUGACGGUACCAGGUCAGAAAGCAACGGCUAACUACGUG
rnacentral:rRNA from 1 species